GAUCCUGGCUCAGGACGAACGCUGGCGGCGUGCCUAACACAUGCAAGUCGAACGAGAAUCUUUGAACAGAUCUUUUCGGAGUGACGUUCAAAGAGGAAAGUGGCGGACGGGCGAGUAACGCAUGAGUAACCUGCCCAUAAGAGGGGGAUAAUCCAUGGAAACGUGGACUAAUACCGCAUAUUGUAGUUAAGUUGCAUGACUUGAUUAUGAAAGAUUAUUCGCUUAUGGAUGGACUCGCGU
rnacentral:rRNA from 1 species